UGCAGUCGAGCGAGCUUGCCUAGAUGAUUUUAGUGCUUGCACUAAAUGAAACUAGAUACAAGCGAGCGGCGGACGGGUGAGUAACACGUGGGUAACCUGCCCAAGAGACUGGGAUAACACCUGGAAACAGAUGCUAAUACCGGAUAACAACACUAGACGCAUGUCUAGAGUUUGAAAGAUGGUUCUGCUAUCACUCUUGGAUGGACCUGCGGUGCAUUAGCUAGUUGGUAAGGUAAUGGCUUACCAAGGCGAUGAUGCAUAGCCGAGUUGAGAGACUGAUCGGCCACAUUGGGACUGAGACACGGCCCAAACUCCUACGGGAGGCAGCAGUAGGGAAUCUUCCACAAUGGACGAAAGUCUGAUGGAGCAACGCCGCGUGAGUGAAGAAGGGUUUCGGCUCGUAAAGCUCUGUUGGUAGUGAAGAAAGAUAGAGGUAGUAACUGGCCUUUAUUUGACGGUAAUUACUUAGAAAGUCACGGCUAACUACGUGCCAGCAGCGGCGGUA
rnacentral:rRNA from 1 species